rnacentral:rRNA from 1 species
GAUGAACGCUGACAGAAUGCUUAACACAUGCAAGUCAUUGGCGAAGCUGCGCUUGCGCAGUCUAGCCAAGGCGGACGGGUGAGUAACGCGUAAGGAACUUGCCCUGCAGACAGGGAUAACAGACGGAAACGACUGAUAACACCUGGUAUUGUCAGGCUGGCGCAUGCCGGCCUGAUGAAAGGAGACGCUGCAGGAGAGCCUUGCGUCCUAUUAGCUAGUUGGUGGGGUAACGGCCCACCAAGGCGAUGAUAGGUAGCCGGCCUGAGAGGGUGAACGGCCACAAGGGGACUGAGAUACGGCCCUUACUCCUACGGGAGGCAGCAGUGGGGAAUAUUGGACAAUGGGGGCAACCCUGAUCCAGCAAUUCUGUGUGCACGAAGAAGGUUUUCGGAUUGUAAAGUGCUUUCAGCAGGGAAGAAGAAAGUGACGGUACCUGCAGAAGAAGCGACGGCUAAAUACGUGCCAGCCGCCGCCGUAACAC